rnacentral:rRNA from 1 species
UUGCUCUUAUGGGUGGCGAGUGGCGGACGGGUGAGGAAUACAUCGGAAUCUACCUUUUCGUGGGGGAUAACGUAGGGAAACUUACGCUAAUACCGCAUACGACCUUCGGGUGAAAGCAGGGGACCUUCGGGCCUUGCGCGGAUAGAUGAGCCGAUGUCGGAUUAGCUAGUUGGCGGGGUAAAGGCCCACCAAGGCGACGAUCCGUAGCUGGUCUGAGAGGAUGAUCAGCCACACUGGAACUGAGACACGGUCCAGACUCCUACGGGAGGCAGCAGUGGGGAAUAUUGGACAAUGGGCGCAAGCCUGAUCCAGCCAUACCGCGUGGGUGAAGAAGGCCUUCGGGUUGUAAAGCCCUUUUGUUGGGAAAGAAAAGCAGUCGAUUAAUACUCGGUUGUUCUGACGGUACCCAAAGAAUAAGCACCGGCUAACUUCGUGCCAGCAGCCGCGGUAAUACGAAGGGUGCAAGCGUUACUCGGAAUUACUGGGCGUAAAGCGUGCGUAGGUGGUUGUUUAAGUCUGUUGUGAAAGCCCUGGGCUCAACCUGGGAAUUGCAGUGGAUACUGGGCGACUAGAGUGUGGUAGAGGGUAGUGGAAUUCCCGGUGUAGCAGUGAAAUGCGUAGAGAUCGGGAGGAACAUCCAUGGCGAA